rnacentral:rRNA from 1 species
CCUACGGGAGGCAGCAGUGAGGAAUAUUGGUCAAUGGGCGAGAGCCUGAACCAGCCAAGUCGCGUGAAGGAUGAAGGAUCUAUGGUCUGUAAACUUCUUUUAUAUGGGAAUAAAGUGAGGUACGUGUUCCUUAUUCUAUGUACCAUAUGAAUCAGCAUCGGCUAAUUCCGUGACAGCAGCCACGGUAAUACGGAGGAUGCGAGCGUUAUCCGGAUUUAUUGGGGUAAAAGGGCGCGUAGGGGGUUAAUUAAGUCAGCGGUGAAAGUUUGUGGCUCAACCAUAAAAUUGCCGUUGAAACUGGUUGACUGGAGUAUAUUUGAGGUAGGCGGAAUGCGUGGUGUAGCGGUGAAAUG